UUUUUAUCCAAUCAGCCGCGUCCAGCGGCUUUUAUUUUUCCGGCGGACUGCAGGAGUGGGUCCUGCGCAAUGGAGGCCUGUGAACCUUGUCAGGUCCGGAAGGAAGCAGCAAUAAGCGGAUACCCCCAUGUGCCGCAGGGGUGCCUGCCCCUGCAGCCCGCCGGGAAAAUAAAGA
rnacentral:misc_RNA from 1 species